GUUACCGCCCACACCUCUUCUCCCCUCAGCUUAACAGAUAAUCCACUUAUACAGUACAUACUUUCCCCCUGUUUUUGGAUGUAACCUAAAUAUACCAGAUACACCCCUUUGGUAUCCCCUGAUAGCCCUGAUCUGGGUGAACAACAUAUUACAAUAUCACCCAGUUUGGACCAGGGGUUCGGGAGUUAGGUGGAAGUGUUUAUUUGACAGACCGCACACAAGGCAGUAGCCAAACUCAGUUCCAUACAUUUUGGCCUUGCAGUCGGUCUUUAUUCGUGAGGUGAAAUACAUGAUGUAGCGGAUGUCACUGGGCUGUCCUGCAAAUUUCAUGUGAAUAACUGCAUUCGUGUAAACUGCUAGUUUUAUAUGUGUUUAAAAGAAAUGUAUUCCUCUGAUUGUUCGGUAGAAUCAUUCGAAUAAACUAAGGGAAUGAAACUACCGAACAAUCAGACCUCCCCUGUGUGAAGUGUGCCUUCAAUUACCCGUUGCAACAAUGUUGCGAACAGGUAAUUGACGAGCUAUGCAGUAGGUCCUUUGUCUCGGGGUGGCCGCCAUUCGGGAAACAAACACGUGGUGGCGGCCAUUUUACAAACUCCCGAACAGCGGUGUUUUGCCGUCGAGUGUCUGGAACCCAAAUCGGACACUCGACUAGGCGAACACCGCUGAGAGCUCCACAAGCCCGGUCCGUUCGGUUCCAAACUACCGAACGGCCCCUCGUUCGGUAGGCAGAAACAACCGAACGAGGGGAUUCAUGUGAAUCCUACCUAAUCUCUGUAACCUUAGCCGUUCGUGUAAAUUAUUCCCUUAUACUGUGACCGACCGCAGGGCCCCAUCACAUGGAACCCAAUUCGGCUGUUCUAUUCAGUGCGGUCGGUCUUUUUAGUACCUCCAUAAAUUUCCUGAACCCCUGGUCUGAUCUGAGUGAUUUUUGGAUAUGUUGCUCACCCAGAUCAGGGCUACCAGGGGAUGUGCCAUUUAAAGGGGUACCCCUAGGUUUAGGGGUACAUCCAGGAACUGGGGGAAUUUGGGUACAGUAUAAGGGGAUUAUGAUGCAGGCUGAGGGGAGGAGAUGUGUGGGAGGUUACUAAUACCGGAUUGGGUAAUGUACUAAUUGUUGAAAAUCCCUCCCUUGCAUGGGAGCAUGCUAUAUAAGGCGCUGUGGAAAAAAGGUUGUCAGUUCUGCUCCUGAAACUGUGUGUCGUCCAGUUAUUGGGAUUGGUGGUGGGAUACUGCUGUGUUAUUUUGCCUGCUGGAAACCUUGCCUGUGGAUUUACAAUUUACUUGUUCCUGAGCCUCACUUGGAUUAUAAGCGGAGAUAGCCUGGGGAAUAUUGUAUCUCCGCUGAGCUGGGGUUUGUAUGAAUCCACUUGUUCGAGAGAUUCAUUUAGCCAAACGGCGGGCUCUUCGUCUGUUUCAUUCGGCAGUUAUGGAGCUCUGGAGGUCUUAGCAGUGUUCGUGUAGUCGAGUGUCUGAUUUGGGUUCCAGACACUUGACGACCAAACACUGCUAAGCGUUCGAAUACUAAGAUGGCCGCUGCCACGUGUUUGCAUGCCAAAUGGCGGCCACCCAGGAAUAUAGCAGUGUGUUUGUAUCUUUUACACUUAAUUGGCAAUAAAGAUUGUU